UAUCUGAACGAGUUCUCUUCCAUGAACUAUCCUAGAACUCUACAGAAACUGUUUAGUCCCAGACACUCUAGCCUUAGAGUGACGGUUGAGAGGGAAUUUGGAGCUUUGAAGAAUAGGUUUAAGAUCCUGGAUCAAAAAUCAUUCCACCCUUAGCCUACCCAAGUUAGGCUUGUUCUUUCAUGUUUCAACCUUCAUAACUUGAUCCUACAAUGGGGUUGUGAUGAACUUGUCCCAGAAGAGGAAUAUGUGAUGUCUGAUGAUGUUGUCAGCUCCGGCCAUGGUGUGGAUGCAUUUGACAACGACGUGUGAAAGAACAAAAGGAUAGGGUGGGCUCAGGUAAUGUGGGAUAACAGAGAUCAGACAAGGAUCUAA
rnacentral:rRNA from 1 species